GAUGAAGAACGCAGCGAAAUGCGAUACGUAAUGUGAAUUGCAGAAUUCAGUGAAUCAUCGAAUCUUUGAACGCAUAUUGCGCUCUCUGGUAUUCCGGAGAGCAUGCUUGUUUGAGUAUCAGUAAACACCUCAACUUCCAUAUCUUUUUUGAAAUGGGAGUUGGACUUGAGUGAUCCCAACGCUUUUCCUCACCGAAAAGUGGCGGGUUACUUGAAAUGCAGGUGCAGCUGGACUUUUCUCUGAGCUAUAAGCAUAUCUAUUUAGUCUGCCUAAAAAACAGAUUAUUACCUUUGCUGCAGCUAACAUAAAGGAGAUUAGUUCUUGUGCUGACUGAUGCAGGAUUCACAAAGACGGCUUCGGCCGACUUUGUAAACUCGAUCUCAAAUCAAGUAAGACUACCCGCUGAACUUAAGCAUAUCAAUAAGCGGAG
rnacentral:misc_RNA from 1 species